ensembl:lncRNA
UGUGUGUGUGUGUGUGUGUGUGUGUGUGUCUGUGUGUGUGUGUGUGUCUGUGUGCGAGGUCACAGUCACACAGGACUUCCUGUUCUGCUUCAAGGUCUAGUUCCUCUGAUGAGGUCACAGUCACACAGGACUUCCUGUUCUGCUCCAAGGUCUAGUUCCUCUGAUGAGGUCACAGUCACACAGGACUUCCUGUUCUGCUCCAAGGUCUAGUUCCUCUGGCGAGGUCACAGUCACACAGGACUUCCUGUUCUGCUUCAAGUUCUAGUUCCUCUGAUGAGGUCACAGUCACACAGGAACAAGAGGAAAAGAGGAAGCAACCGGAGAAAGGGGAAGUUGUG